AACAAACGCUGGCGGCGUGCCUAACACAUGCAAGUCGAACGAGAAAGUCGGUUUCGGCCGAUGAGUAAAGUGGCGCACGGGUGAGUAACGCGUGGAUAAUCUACCCUUUAGUCCGGAAUAACUUGCCGAAAGGUGAACUAAUACCGGAUGACAUCCCGGGUUCUCCGGAAACCGGGAUCAAAGAAGGCCUCUGCUUGCAAGCUUUUGCUGAAGGAUGAGUCCGCGUACCAUUAGCUAGUUGGUGGGUAUGGCUACCAAGGUUAUGAUGGUUAGCUGGUCUGAGAGGAUGAUCAGCCACACUGGAACUGAAACACGGUCCAGACUCCUACGGGAGGCAGCAAUGAGGAAUAUUGCGCAAUGGGGGCAACCCUGACGCAGCAACGCCGCGUGAGUGAGGAAGGUUUUCGGAUUGUAAAGCUCUGUCGAGCGGAAAGAAAUGCACGAUGGCUAAUAUCCAUCAUGCUUGACGUACGCUAGAGGAGCACCGGCUAAC
rnacentral:rRNA from 1 species